UGAUUUGCAGGGUUUGGGGAAGGUUCCCUGUCCCUAAAGCAUCAUUCCGUCCCGCUCUGGUGCUGUGCACAGAGCUCGACUAUCCUGAAACCACCAUGAUUCGACCUCAUGUCAGUCCUUUGGCUGCCAGCCCAGUUCAACUCCAAGCUGAUGACCAGUGUCGACUGCCAGUCAUUCUGAACAUUUGACCAGUUGAGCUUUCAAAUGAUGGCAGUCCUGGCUGACAUUUUGUGUGAACAACAUGAGAGACUGGCUGGUUGAGCCCUUCCCAAAUUUCUGACCCACUACAUUGUGAGAAAAAUAAUCUUAAGCCUCUCAGUUUAGGGACAAUUUGUUACUCAGCAAUAGAAAUGAAAAUAUGAUCUCAGUAGGACCAUGUGA